GAUGAACGCUGGCGGCGUGCCUAAUACAUGCAAGUCGAGCGGACGGACGCGAAGCUUGCUUCUCUGAUGUUAGCGGCGGACGGGUGAGUAACACGUGGAUAACCUACCUAUAAGACUGGGAUAACUUCGGGAAACCGGAGCUAAUACCGGAUAAUAUUUUGAACCGCAUGGUUCAAAAGUGAAAGACGGUCUUGCUGUCACUUAUAGAUGGAUCCGCGCUGCAUUAGCUAGUUGGUAAGGUAACGGCUUACCAAGGCAACGAUGCAUAGCCGACCUGAGAGGGUGAUCGGCCACACUGGAACUGAGACACGGUCCAGACUCCUACGGGAGGCAGCAGUAGGGAAUCGUCGGCAAUGGGCGAAAGCCUGACGGAGCAACGCCGCGUGAGUGAUGAAGGUCUUCGGAUCGUAAAACCCUGUUAUUAGGGAAGAACAUAUGUGUAAUUAACUGUGCACAUCUUGACGGUACCGAAUCAGAAAGCCACGGCUAACUACGUG
rnacentral:rRNA from 1 species